CAGAGAGCGCCAGAGGGCUCCACACAAAGGGUUUGGAAGGCCCCAGGUCACUAUCCUUAGGCCAUGUUUAAUAGGACGCUCCAUCAACCUGAUUCUAAAGAAAUGACAGGAAUCUUUGAAUAAUAAUGUCCCACAUUUAUUGAGCACCUAAUAUGUGCCUUGGCACUGUGUUAGAAUGUGCUAAGUGUUCUAGACGUAUCAUCUCCUUUAAUCCUCAUAACAAACCUAAGAGCAAUUAAAAAAAAAAACUGCAUUUGACUUUAUUGUACCAAGUACAACUCCAGGAGCUGGGAAUACAGAGCUGAAGAAGGCUUACUCCCUUUGCUUUCAGGAGUAAACUCAGGCCCUCCAAGCUUGACGUUGAAGGAGAGAGAGCCUUGGUGGAAGAAUAUCUUGGUGGAGCUGGUUUGCCCACCCACGAGGCCUCCAACUCUGAUCCUAGAGAUUCACAUCCUUUUAUGGAGGUGAGUUACUCUCACAACUACUUUCUGCACAUUUGUAAACUGGCUCAAGUGUAACAGAAGACUUUCCCCUUAAUACUCUGAGCAAAGCUGAAAAAGGGCUGGAAGCCAUAAGCAAGAUUUUAGAAAAGGCAGAAGAUAACAAAAUGGAAAUAAACACA